UAUUACUUUCCAGGAAAGUCACUAGACAACAAGGCUUUACCUCUUCAGCACUGGAAUCCAUGGCAACCAGGUUGGGAGUAUGUAGCUGAAUCUGUGCAGCCCAUCAAAAUCCCUGGAACCUCAUUCAAAGAAAAUUUGGUAUGGUGAAGCCUUCAUCAGUUGGGCAUAGGUCAUUUCCAGAUUUAGAGAUUCAGACACUUUUCAGAUGAGCUGCAUGUGUUGCAGGAGGAAGAGCCAUUGCCAUUGGUGGUUCUGUCAUAAAGGGAGAGGUAGCAGAUAUACCUUGAAGCAAUCAUCCAAACAACAGAUGCAGAUGCUACAGAACUAGAACAGAGAAGUGUUGAAAUAAACAUUUUUCCCUUCUGGAAACA
rnacentral:lncRNA from 1 species